rnacentral:pre_miRNA from 1 species
AAAUGAUGAUGAUGAUGAUGAUGAUGAUGAUGAUGAUGAUGAUGAUAUAUAUAUAUAUAUAUAUACACAUACAUACAGUUUUAUGAGUGUUCACACAUUUGCAUCAUCAUUGUCAUCAUCAUUGUCAUCAUCAUCAUCAACA